rnacentral:rRNA from 1 species
UGGGGAAUAUUGCACAAUGGGCGCAAGCUUGAUGCAGCCAUGCCGCGUGUGUGAAGAAGGCCUUCGGGUUGUAAAGUACUUUCAGCGGGGAGGAAGGCGUUAAGGUUAAUAACCUUGGCGAUUGACGUUACCCGCAGAAGAAGCACCGGCUAACUCCGUGCCAGCAGCCGCGGUAAUACGGAGGGUGCAAGCGUUAAUCGGAAUUACUGGGCGUAAAGCGCACGCAGGCGGUUUGUUAAGUCAGAUGUGAAAUCCCCGGGCUCAACCUGGGAACUGCAUCUGAUACUGGCAAGCUUGAGUCUCGUAGAGGGGGGUAGAAUUCCAGGUGUAGCGGUGAAAUGCGUAGAGAUCUGGAGGAAUACCGGUGGCGAAGGCGGCCCCCUGGACGAAGACUGACGCUCAGGUGCGAAAGCGUGGGGAGCAAACAGG